UACCCGAGGAGGGCGAGGCAGGAGACAGAGUCGGAGAGGAGGCGUGGGUCAAAACCAGGUCGGGACAAGCAGGUACAGGGAGCAGGCUGGAGACGUGGUAGUAGACAGGCGAGGGUCGUGGUGGCAGGCAGAGUUCAAGGCAGGGGUCAGUCGAAAAAACGAGGUCCAGAGGCAGUAAGGCAAGGUGCAAGGCUGGAAGAUCUACUAACAAAAAGUGUUCAAUAAUCUGUCGGGGGACUGGUGGCUGGCUGGUGAAUAUAUAGCAGGGGGAGCAGGUGUGUGUAAUGAGCUGAUGACAGGGACAGGUGAGAUGAAUGAAGUGGCUGAGGGCUUGAUGAGGAGGCAGCAGAGGCAGAGGAGGGUGAAAGACUGGGAGUCAUGGCAUUAACAUAUUUUUAUUUUUUGUUUUUCACAACACGGAAUGUUUAUGGAGACAGUAAAGACCCACAUGGCAGCACAAACUGAUGUGAGUUUUGCAUAAUGUCACCUUUAACCAUAUGAUAGCAGAACCUCACCGGCUUUAGGACCCUGAAGCAGUGGAAGGGGAAGCCGCCAUCCUCUCCUCCACCACUACGAUGUUGCCUCUCAUCCCUCCAGCUGUAAUCAUGAGUUUUAUUGUGAUAAUCAGCGCUCAGCAGGACGAGUCCAGGCUGACAGAGCGACCUUAUGAGGUGCUGCAGAAGCAGAAUUUAGUCAUCAUGGGGAGCGUGCUCGCUGUCCUGCUGCUGUUGAUGAUCAUCAUGGCUGUGUGUGUGUACAAACCGCUGUCCCGUCGCUGACCAGGGAAAGGACCUGUCCGGACACGAUCAGACGGUCUCUGACAUCUGUCACCAGGAAGUCCUGCUGAUAAAAACGUUUGAAAUGUUUCAGGUUUUAGAAAUGUGUUUGCGUUUGUCUUGAUCGUGUAAACAACGGAAUAUGGUUCCAAAGGUCCGAAGAUCUGGAUGAAGACAGAAAGUGAACAUGGACAAAGGGGACACAUGCCAUACUAUCAGAGAUCUACCUAUAGAAAGUGAUUUUCAGAAAUGGUCUAGGGCAAGUUCCCAUCGGCUGUGAUGAAUUUCGUCUCUGGAGAAGAAAUGGGGAUAAAACAGCUGGAAAAGGACAAAACACAUCUGCAUUUCACACGGGAUGAAAGAAAAACAUCUGAAUCUGUCCUGAAUCCAGCAAACCUUUUCUCCAACGACAUAUUAAGUAAUUUUUAUUUUUAUUUUGGGGUGGGUGGGAAUGUCCACACUGCUGCUGGAUGAUGAGCCAAAAACAAAUAAUGUGCUGGCGUUUGAAAACUUUUGAAAUUCUACUGUUGGAUGCAUAUUUAUUUAUUUAUUUAUUAAAAAUGAAAAAUUUUUUAAAACAGUAUAUAA